CAUUUUUCAUUCUUUCUGAACCUACUGACAAUCAUUUCUCUGUGUGUGUGUGUGUGUUUUCCAUUUCCUUAGGAAGUGACAGGAAGUAGGCUGAGGAACCGCCCAACCCACAGGUCAUGACCCUUCCAAGAUGGCCGCCCAUGUGCUCCUCUGUAUGAACUCUGCUGGAGUUUAAAUUCAUAGCCCUCGGCUACGGCGGUUUAGACCAGUGGGACGGAUGGAGGUCAGAGGGGUUCAUGGCUGACUGAGGAUCAUCAUCAUCAUCAUCAUCAUCAUCAUCAUUAUAAUGUUCUCCAUCGUCCGAGUCACUACGUCCUGAGAGUCACUGCCUCCAGAGAGUCCAAUAAUUGUCUUUUCCUAUUUUCUGGAUUAAGACUCAAUUCUCCAUUGACUGGGAGCAGCAGCAGCAGCAGCAGCAGCUUCCAGAGAACGCUGUCAUUAGCCCCCUGCUGGUGCCGUGGUGGAAACCGUAGACCACAGCUGCUCCAGUAAUGGCUCCAGUGAAGGACGGAGCUGUGGAUGAAUAUAAAGGAAAAGAAAACCACUAGAGAUUUUAAAUAAUGGACCAAUUGGUCCGCAAUUAGUGCCACGAUCACGAUCCGUCCCAGACGUCCUGUCCUGGGGUCUGAACAAGAUGUUCCCAAGCUGGAAAAG